CUUUUCCUUUAUUCUCCGCUCUUUUUCUAUUCUCUCACACAAUGCAUCUUAUUUCCUCUUCCUUCGGUCGUACGAUUCAAACCCUAAAAAUCAGAUGGAUGCUUCCCUUCAACGAUUCCAUUGAGAAAACCCUAAAAUCUUCCAUACGUUUUUGGCUUUUCACAUACGCUUGGUCAUAACCCUCUCUCUCAUCCUCUCAAAAUCAUUCAAACGGCGAAUCCUCUCCUGCGAAACCCUAAUCGGCGAUUCCUGUCCUCACGGAGAGCAGCAAUAACAACCUCUGCAGAUCUCCUUAUAUCUUUCACGUAGCGAACCCUAUCAUUCAUCAUUCUCCCAAUCGUUCUGAUCUUCUACUGGUAACUAACAUUUUUCAUGCUUGCUUUUAUCGUGUUUUACCCUACUUUUGCUUUGAUUUUAUGUUUGUAAACAAAUAUUCCAGAUUUUUUUGUGUAUCGGAACAAUUAGGGCUUUCGAAUCUGAUCAGUUUAACUCGAUCAUCGAGUGUUUGUUUGAUGUAACGAUUUGGGUUUUUUUUUUCUUGCUAAAUUGAUGUUAAAAACAUGUCAAUUCGGGUUGAUUUGGUGAAACUGAUUGGGAGCAGCAGUCGGUUAGGGUUAGAAGGGGGUGUUGAUGGUCGAUUAUGGGUGCAAGGGGGAGUAGUUCAACGAUGUUGGUUGUGGUGGUUUCGCAGCGGUGAAGAUGAGUGGAGGCGGUGGUUGGCUGCACGGAUCUGGUAGUAGAUGGGUUAUAGGUGGGUGUGGUAUUCGUGCCAUUAGCAAAAGAGAUUUAAAAACAAAACUGAUGAUGCAACAAUAUCUUUACGAGAUUUGAUUAAAAUUUGAUUUACUAAGUGGAAUUCCCCUGUCGAAGGUUGAAGACAUGGAUCAUGGAGGAACUAUGUUUCCCUAUACAUGUAUCCAUACCGAUCUGGCCCAUUGAAAGACAUUUAUAUUUUUGAGAUGGCAAUGGAUUCAAAACAAUCACUAUGCGGUUAGGAGGGGAUGUGAUUGUUGAUGUGAUUGUUUUCAGCCGUACAUAUUGGAACAAAAUGGGCAUAUUUUGCGGGUUGGGGAACGAGCCAAAAUGAAUUGAGGGUCAAAGGGUAUAUUUCUAUGUGCAAGUCAAAGGAAAUUGGUUUGGGCUGGUCAUCCCUGCCCAUACUUUUAUGAAUUCAUGGUGUCUUUUUGGCUUUUAGAAUCCAGACUACAGAGCAUAGUGUACCUUCACCAAUUCAGAUGGAUGCUAUACAUAUAGUUGCCAAGUUGAGAAGAUUUUGAUUUGGAAGGCUUCUAAUAUGCCCAUUUACUGUUGCAGGGUUACAUUGCUUGACGGGACUUUUAAGGAGGGGAGAAGUGGGAAACAACUACUUUCGGUACAACGACAGAGUUAUCGAAGAGUUUUGCUUCAAAUGCUUUGAUUUCUCACAUUCGGUGGCGUAUGCAUGAAUUCUGGAGCAUAAGUGAUGGAAAAGUCUCUUUUGCGUCAUGGGCAAAGUUCUAUUUGACAGGCAGUUGUUUUUCUGUUUUUAAUUUGGACCCUUUCUUGAUAGGUGAGGUUCGUGUAUGAAUCAUUCAAGAAACUGCGUCCUGGGAUCCCUUUAAAAUGCCUGCAUGGAAGGAUGAAACAAGUGAAAGGAUGUUCAUAUUGCAACAAAGAUCAGUUCUUUUUUAUUGUAGUUUAAUUUCGGGUGAUUGUUCUCGACAAAAGAUUUCAAAUCUAUUUUUUCAUCCUUUUAUUUUCUUUCUUUAAUUUUUAUGGUUGAACAACAAAAAAUAUGAUACUACAUGUCAUGUAAAGAAUUCCGACGUUGGGGGGCAAAAAAUGACAUGCAAACAUCACCAUGAAGUUAGCCAACCAAGUUAGCUGUUUUUUUUUUUUGUAUAUACGCUGAUUUUGUAACUUGUGAGCUAAAUUAAUAUGGAUUUUGUGAUA